UCGAGCGGUAGAGAGAAGCUUGCUUCUCUUGAGAGCGGCGGACGGGUGAGUAAUGCCUAGGAAUCUGCCUGGUAGUGGGGGAUAACGUUCGGAAACGGACGCUAAUACCGCAUACGUCCUACGGGAGAAAGCAGGGGACCUUCGGGCCUUGCGCUAUCAGAUGAGCCUAGGUCGGAUUAGCUAGUUGGUGAGGUAAUGGCUCACCAAGGCGACGAUCCGUAACUGGUCUGAGAGGAUGAUCAGUCACACUGGAACUGAGACACGGUCCAGACUCCUACGGGAGGCAGCAGUGGGGAAUAUUGGACAAUGGGCGAAAGCCUGAUCCAGCCAUGCCGCGUGUGUGAAGAAGGUCUUCGGAUUGUAAAGCACUUUAAGUUGGGAGGAAGGGCAGUAAAUUAAUACUUUGCUGUUUUGACGUUACCGACAGAAUAGCACCGGCUAACUCUGUGCCAGCAGCCGCGGUAAUACGUAGGGAGCGAGCGUUGUCCGGAUUCAUUGGGCGUAAAGAGCUCGUAGGCGGCUUGGUAAGUCGGAUGUGAAAGCUCCAGGCUCAACCUGGAGUCGCCAUCCGAUACUG
rnacentral:rRNA from 1 species